rnacentral:misc_RNA from 1 species
UACGGAAGGGGCAAGCGUUGUUCGGAAUCAUUGGGCGUAAAGGGCGCGUAGGCGGUCUCGUAUGUCUGCUGUGAAAGUACACGGCUCAACCGUGGAGGGUCGGCGGAAACUGCGAGACUUGAGGCUGGGAGGGGCUGGUGGAAUUCCCUGUGUAGCGGUGAAAUGCGUAGAUAUAGGGGAGAACACUCGUGGCGAAGGCGGCCAGCUGGACCAGUCCUGACGCUGAGGCGCGACAGCGUGGGGAGCAAACAGG